CCUACGGGACGCAGCAGUGAGGAAUAUUGGUCAAUGGGCGAAAGCCUGAACCAGCCAAGUCGCGUGAGGGAUUAAGGCCCUAUGGGUCGUAAACCUCUUUUGUCGGGGAGCAAGACCCGCCUCGUGCAGGCGGAGCGAGAGUACCCGAAGAAAAAGCAUCGGCUAACUCCGUGCCAGCAGCCGCGGUAAUACGGAGGAUGCAAGCGUUAUCCGGAUUUAUUGGGUUUAAAGGGUGCGCAGGCGGACCAUCAAGUCAGCGGUAAAAUCGUGGGGCCCAACCCCAUCCCGCCGUUGAAACUGGCGGG
rnacentral:rRNA from 1 species